CACGCCGUAAACGAUGGAUACUAGCUGUUCGGAGCAAUCUGAGUGGCUAAGCGAAAGUGAUAAGUAUCCCACCUGGGGAGUACGUUCGCAAGAAUGAAACUCAAAGGAAUUGACGGGGGCCCGCACAAGCGGUGGAGCAUGUGGUUUAAUUCGAUGAUACGCGAGGAACCUUACCAAGGCUUAAAUGGGAAACGACAGGUUUGGAAACAGACUUUUCUUCGGACGUUUUUCAAGGUGC
rnacentral:rRNA from 2 species